GACGAACGCUGGCGGCGUGCUUAACACAUGCAAGUCGAACGAUGAAGCUGGAGCUUGCUCCGGUGGAUUAGUGGCGAACGGGUGAGUAACACGUGAGCAAUCUGCCCUUCACUCUGGGAUAACUGCGGGAAACUGUAGCUAAUACCGGAUACGAGGCUUGGAGGCAUCUCCAGGUCUGGAAAGAAUUUCGGUGAAGGAUGAGCUCGCGGCCUAUCAGCUUGUUGGUGAGGUAAUGGCUCACCAAGGCGACGACGGGUAGCCGGCCUGGGAGGGUGACCGGCCACACUGGGACUGAGACACGGCCCAGACUCCUACGGGAGGCAGCAGUGGGGAAUAUUGCACAAUGGGCGAAAGCCUGAUGCAGCAACGCCGCGUGAGGGAUGAAGGCCUUCGGGUUGUAAACCUCUUUUAGCAGGGAAGAAGCGAAAGUGACGGUACCUGCAGAAAAAGCACCGGCUAACUACGUGCCAGCAGCCGCGGUAA
rnacentral:rRNA from 1 species